rnacentral:rRNA from 1 species
UACGUAGGGCGCAAGCGUUGUCCGGAAUUAUUGGGCGUAAAGAGCUCGUAGGCGGCUUGCCGCGUCGACUGUGAAAUCCCGCGGCUCAACCGCGGGUCUGCAGUCGAUACGGGCAGGCUAGAGUUCGGUAGGGGAGACUGGAAUUCCUGGUGUAGCGGUGAAAUGCGCAGAUAUCAGGAGGAACACCGAUGGCGAAGGCAGGUCUCUGGGCCGAUACUGACGCUGAGGAGCGAAAGCGUGGGGAGCGAACAGG